GUCAGGGAGACGAGAAGAGACUAAAUAUAGCCAUGUAUAAACCAUCAGCACUGUCGAAAACAACUACAAGCUUCACAUCAACAGGAAUGCUCGGCACCAGGAUCUACUUAAUAGUCACAGCAAGAAGACUUGGAGUCAUCCCAGAAUUCACACUUUUCCCCUCUUCACUCUUCCCCCUCCACCUCCAGUCAGUUGCGAAGUUUUGUCAUCCUGACUCCUAAAUAUCUCCUGACAUCUCUUUCUGUCUAACUCCCAUUCUGGUUCAAGUCCCUCCUCACUUGCCUGAGUAGGAGAUAAAUGAACUUACCAAACUGUC